rnacentral:rRNA from 1 species
GACGAACGCUGGCGGCGUGCUUAACACAUGCAAGUCGAACGAAGUGGCGAACGGGUGAGUAAUACGGGGGUAACCUGCCCUCCUUCUUGGGAUAAGCCUUGGAAACGGGGUCUAAUACCGAAUAAAGGGGGAUGGGUUCGCGGCGUAUCAGGUUGUGGGUGGGGUGAUGGCCUACCAAGGCGGUGACGGGUAGCGGGCCUGAGAGGCCGACCUGCCACUGUGGGACGGUGAUGCGGCCCAGAGUCGUCAGCGGGGGAGAAGUGUGGGCUAUUGCACAAUGCGUGAUAGCCCCAUGCAGCGACUCCGCGUGGGGGCUGAGGGUUGUCGGGUUGUAAACGUCUUGCGCUAGCGAAUCGUUAGCUGGAGAAGAAGCGCCGGCUAACUACGUGCCAGCAGCCGCGGUAAUAC